CCGGGAAUUAAUUCCGUACAAUCCCUACAGUGGUCGUGUUCCGAGUUUCGAUCGGGCACUACCCCCGUGCAGGGUUUACUCUGUACACGCGGCCAGUUUUUUUCGUGCGCCGCGCCGGCACGCUGCUCUCGGGAAUCGGUUACGCGUCCGUCGGAAAUUAUUGCGCGCGUGACGUCACUGUCAUUCGUCUAUAUCGGCCGUUUAUGGCAAUGGUAUUAACGUAAUAGCAUAAUGAUUUCUUCGUUCGUCACGUAUACGCCGUCGCCGUGUAUGACUUACCAUACUACUUCGGAUAUACGUACGUGAUUCACGUUGUCGGUUUUAAGAGAGAGAGAGAGAAAGAGAGAAAAUGGUAUUUUUCUGCGUAAACGUUCGUAAAACGUUAUUCAACAUAUUAUUAU